UGUAUUAACGUUUAAUGGUGGUCAAUUUUUUUAUAAUAUAUUCUUAUAAACGUUUUAUUUAUUUAUUUAUUUUUUCUUAUUUGUUUUGUUAUAUAACCAGAUCAGUAAACAAGCGUACGUCUCAAUUGAUGGUAAGCGAUUGCCGUAAGUUAUAGAUGCAUCGCUAGCACGUUGCCAACCCUAUCCCCAAUUCCGGCCAUGAGCUCUGGUCACCUUAC
rnacentral:misc_RNA from 1 species